rnacentral:rRNA from 1 species
ACGUCAAAUCAUCAUGCCCCUUAUGUCUAGGGCUACACACGUGCUACAAUGGCCGGUACAACGAGAUGCAAACCCGUGAGGGGGAGCCAAACUUCAAAGCCGGUCCCAGUUCGGAUUGUAGGCUGAAACUCGCCUACAUGAAGUCGGAGUUGCUAGUAAUCGCGAAUCAGCAUGUCGCGGUGAAUACGUUCCCGGGUCUU